CCCUUAGAUGUUCUGGGCCGCACGCGCGCUACACUGAUGCAUUCAACGAGUUUUACCUUGGCCGAGAGGCCUGGGCAAUCUUUUAAACCUGCAUCGUGAUAGGGAUAGAUUAUUGCAAUUAUUAAUCUUGAACGAGGAAUUCCUAGUAAACGCAAAUCAUCAAUUUGCAUUGAUUACGUCCCUGCCCUUUGUACACACCGCCCGUCGCACCUACCGAUUGAAUGGUCCGGUGAGGCCUCGGGAUUGUGGCCGGUUUCCUUCAUUGGGAGUUGGCUGCGAGAACUUGUCCAAACCUUAUCAUUUAGAGGAAGGUGAAGUCGUAACA
rnacentral:rRNA from 1 species